GCCGCGUUAGCUCAAUUGGAUAGAGCAUUGGUCUUCUACACCAAGGGUUGAGGGUUCAAGCCCUUCACGCGGCGCCA
rnacentral:tRNA from 1 species